GUCUGACACCUGCCCAAAGGCGAAAGCAAACGGCAGAUGUAACUAUAACAUUUAUAAUGUAGCGAAAUACCUUGGCACAUAAUUGGUGUCGCGCAUGAAUGGUGUAACGAUCGCCUAGCUGUCUCGAGUAUGGGUUCUGUGAAAUUGAGAUCUUUGUGCAGACGCGAAGAAGUGGCUGUGGUACGAUAAGACCCUA
rnacentral:rRNA from 1 species